rnacentral:hammerhead_ribozyme from 1 species
AUCCGGCUGACGGGUCCUGAACAGAACGAAGCGCGCGUUCUAGAU